rnacentral:rRNA from 1 species
GUCUACGGCCAUAUCACCCACCCUGAACACACCCGAUCUCGUCUGAUCUCGGAAGCUAAGCAGGGUCGGGCCUGGUUAGGACUUGGAUGGGAGAAAUGGAACAAGAAAUUGAAACAGUGGUUGUCUAAAACA